CCGCUACUUGCCUCCGAGUCACCUCCGCCACCUGCCUUUGAGGCUCGCUUCCGCCGCUUCCUUGAAGGUCAAUGAGCUUUGUCGCAACCCAAUCUCGCCUCCCUCGAAAUGUACAAGGAGGGGAAAUGUCGGGUUUAGGGGUACUUUGAUCACGAGAGUUUCUUCAGAAAAUCAGGAGCUCUCCUAAGCCCGUACCCCGCGCGACAGUGGAUUUAUUUAUACAAUUUAAGUAUUUAACAACCUAAAAAAUAUAUAUGAGUCGCCAUUAGCCUCAUUUUGAGCGUCGGCUAGAAACCCAAUCGAGGGUCGGGAGUGUUUUCUUGAUUCCUACGUAACCAGAUAUGUAGGUUCGGGGACUUGAGUUACACUAAUAUUGCUAUUAGCGCCCUUUCGGUACCUAAAGGGUAUGCUGUGUUUUUCCUAACAUGUCCAUGCAUUUUUUUUUUUUUACAUUUUCGGGAUCAUCAAUUCCUAGACUAAGUGACCAUGCAUGGUGGAUUACUUUUAUUGUAUUAUAUUCCUAAAAAAAUAGAAAGGAAAAUAAUCAACGAUAUUGAAAGUGCAAGAGAUGAAGUAAACACUCAAGGAAAAAACAGUAAACCUAAUCAUGCAAUUCUAAAAAAUAUAAAAGAGAAAACAAUUGAGAAAGAAAAGAAACCCGCAACUCAUUGGAUUUUAUAUAAUGCAUGGAACCGGAGACAUAUGUCGGGAAAAACGAAUGGUACAUGAUAAUGGUCGGAAUGGAAAUCGAUCUCUAUCACCUUCACGCCUUCUGUAUCUUCAGAGUCUUAAUCUAAACCUAAUCUAAGAAACAAGGAUCCAUUGUCUCAUCUUAUAUGACUAAGACAACACAUAUAAAUCAUUAUUAUAACGAAUAAACAUAGGUAUCAGACAUGAACAUGAAUCUAGCAAAUUUAAGUCACAAACGGGACAAAAUAUAAGACAUGUUUAAAGGUUCGUAAGAUCACCUAGACAAUAUACAAAAAUGUGAAACUUGCACAUGACAUAAGGUUGAAUGCGAAAAAGGUUUGGGUAAACAUUUAAUCCUAAAUCAGAAUGCAAAGAAGUCCUACAGAUCAUUAACAUUGCAAAGUGACUUGGAACUAAGAAUGUCAUGCUUGACAAAUUUCAAUUGCAAUUAACCAAAUUGAUAGAUAAUAUUCUCAUCAAAUGAGAUUCAAAUAUGAUAUGCCCUAAGUCUGUCUAGAAAGCACCAAGCAUCAAGUAUGCUCUUAAGGAACUUGAUUGAAGACAUUUUCAUAGAAACGCAAUCAAUUAAAAUCACAGCAGGGAUUGCACAAAACAUGGAUGAUAUUUAUUGAAAUGAAGACAUAAAGAAAAUCUAUGAAAGUCCAAGUAUAUAGAAGGAAAUGUCCUAAUCAUCUAUCAUGAGACAUCGAAGUCUUACUUUGUUCACAAAAGUCUAUAUGAAAAUAGAAAAGAAAUAGAGCAAAAAAAUCCAACAUUAUAGAUUGCAGUAACUCAAACGUGACUUUAUGGAAGCCAUUGACCUUGCUAACGAUGACCAUUUGAUUCUACCUAUACCUUGUUAGAAAGCUUAUGAAAUUUCUAAUGACUCAUGAAAGAUUCAACUCCAGCAAAGCAUGUUUACUAGCUCAAAUUUGAACACGCAUCAGGUCUCAAACAGGACAGAUUCUGGACUGAACUUUGAACAUGUGAAAACCAUAUCAAAUGAAAUUCAAUCAGGGCAUUCUAUAGCUCAUUGGAAAGAUAUCCGAACCAUCUUCGACUUUCAUGCAGACUUCGAACACAGACAACCAUAGCAACCAGCUCAUAUCUUUGCACAGAAGGUCAUUCAGAACACAGAACACAAUAAACAACACAGGUUCAGUAACAAUGGCACAAUGAGUGGUAUCAGAUCUAUAUACUUGGUAAAUCAACUUCUAAGAAAUGUUUCAUAUCAACACGUUUUCAGAUCUGACAUUAUCAUGAUCUAUUUCUCAUUCAUGCUUUUGAGGUAUCCUCAAAUACUUCACGUACAACAAAACGAUUAACUCAAGCUAUGGAACGGGACUGAAGCCAUGUUCUCAUCUAACAUUCUAAAAUCAGUAUUAAAAUCACAGAACCAUCACAAGUCAUCUAGUUACAGCUCAGAUCUUAAGUGAAUUACACCUGGACUACGUGAACGUGAUUCUUCCACACAUCUCAUUGCAACAGAGCAGGAACCGAUCGGUUUCGGAAACCGGAUCCCCUAGCAAGCUCUUCGCCGAAUAGAGGAAACACCUCCGAUCGCGCACUGACGGAGGAAAACCCUAGCCUUCGACGAGAAUUUCGAGAGCGAGAGAACGCUCCAUCGAGAGAGCUCUUCAAGAGAGAGACGGAGAGAGUUCGUGAUCCAGAGAGCCCGAGAGAGAAUCAGCGUUCGAGCAUUUGAGAGAGAGAGAGAGAGCGAGCCCGCGGGAGAGCCCGAAAGAGAGAAUUGAUCGUGAAAAAAAAUCCCCUCCUCGCACGAGCGUUUCCCCU
rnacentral:lncRNA from 1 species